rnacentral:lncRNA from 1 species
GGAAAAGAAGGUUGAGAUACCCCUGCCUGAGCCCCUUGUCUCCCUACCGGUGCCCCCUGGUGCACAGGAGUGGAAAAGCCAUGAGUCUCAGAGUGUCCUGGUUCCUGGCUGGCUGAAGAAGGAAGGCUUCAAAGCGUGGCUGAGUGGCCGGUCCCCUCCAGGCCAGUCAGCCAGUCUCUGGGCUCUACCUCUGUACAUCUGAAAGGUCAUCAGGUCACAGAUACAUUAAUGCAAAGAUGCAUUAUCAGCAGGUGAAUGGUGACAUCUUGGCCCGAAGAAAUCCUUGAUGCUUUAUGCAGCCUGAGUUCAAAACAGCAACGAAGAGCAAGCCAGGCAACGCAGAAUUAUUUUGCUGUCUCACCUCGAAAUCAGCUUGGAAGAUAAGUUGUAGAAGAAAAGAGACUACUGGGCACAGACACCUGGACUCUGACCCUGGUUCAGUCACCUAUUGGCCAUUUGACUCUAACAUCAUCUCACUAAACAGAGCUUUGUUCAUCAGUAAAAUAUUGAGACAAUAUUUUUUCUUGGACUGUUUCAUUAGAAUAUUAAACACACCACAUAUCACAUGCAUGGCUUAUAGUAGGAAUUAAGUAUUGAUUUGUCUGUGAUAAC